rnacentral:lncRNA from 13 species
GAUCCUCUGUUGCUCUGGAUGCCCAGGAAGCUCUGGCAGAGAGGAUGCUUGCCAUUUCAGGAGACGGUUCUGAAAGAGUACACCAGGUCUAUAUCUCUGGAUAAGUUUGGCCAGGAGGGCUUCUGAGGAGAAGACCUUC